GACAGAGGGGGCAAGCGUUGCUCGGAAUUACUGGGCGUAAAGGGCGCGUAGGCGGGAUGGCAAGUCGGUCGUGAAAGUCCCUCGGCUCAACCGAGGAACGUCGAUCGAUACUGCUGUUCUUGAGGAUUGCAGAGGAGACUGGAGUUCCCGGUGUAGCGGUGAAAUGGUGUAGAGAGUCGGGAGGAACGACCGGUGGCGAAGGCGGGUCUCUGGGCAUCGUCCUGACGCUGAGGCGCGAAAGCGUGGAGAGCAAACAGG
rnacentral:rRNA from 1 species